GACAGAGGUGCCAAGCGUUAGGCGGAAUCACUGGGCUUAAAGCGUGUGUAGGCGGACUCGUAAGUACCUUGUGAAAUCCCACAGCUCAACUGUGGAACUGCUGGGUAUACUGCUUGUCUUGAGCCACUUAGGGGCUGUCGGAACAAACGGUGGAGCGGUGAAAUGCGUAGAGAUCGGGAGGAACACCAGUGGCGAAGGCGACUGCCUGGGGAGUAACUGACGCUGAGGCACGAAGGUCAGGGGAGCAAACGGG
rnacentral:rRNA from 1 species